GGCCAGAUAGCUCAGAUGGUAGAGCACCCGACUAGAGAUUAGGAGGCCCAGGUUAAAAAUCCUGGUCUGGUCC
rnacentral:tRNA from 1 species